rnacentral:rRNA from 1 species
UACGAAGGGGGGCUAGCGUUGCUCGGAAUCAUUGGGCGUAAAGGGCGCGUAGGUGGUUCUGUAUGUCUACCGUGAAAGCGUACGGCUCAACCGUAUUUUGUCGGUAGAAACUGCAGGACUUGAGGCUGGGAGGGGCUGGUGGAAUUCCCUGUGUAGCGGUGAAAUGCGUAGAGAUGGGGAGAACACUCGUGGCGAAGGCGGCCAGCUAGACCAGUUCUGACACUGAGGCGCGACAGCGUGGGGAGCAAACAGG